CAGCCUGAUCAGCAUGCCGCGUGUGUGAAGAAGGCCUGAGGGUUGUAAAGCACUUUCAAUUGUGAAGAAGAGGUUAGUAGUAAUAUUGCUGACCUUUGACGUUAACUUUAGAAGAAGCACCGGCUAACUCCGUGCCAGCAGCCGCGGUAAUACGGAGGGUGCAAGCGUUAAUCGGAAUUACUGGGCGUAAAGCGCGCGUAGGCGGUUAUUUAAGUCAGAUGUGAAAGCCCCGGGCUCAACCUGGGAAUUGCCUCUGAUACUGGGUAACUAGAGUUUGGAAGAGGAGAGUAGAAUUUCAGGUGUAGCGGUGAAAUGCAUAGAGAUCUGAAGGAAUACCAGUGGCGAAGGCGGCUCUCUGGUCCAAAACUGACGCUGAGGUGCGAAAGCGUGGGUAGCAAACAGGAUUAGAUACCCUGGUAGUCCACUGCUGCCUCCCG
rnacentral:rRNA from 1 species